rnacentral:misc_RNA from 1 species
GUGAAUCAUCGAAUCUUUGAACGCAUAUUGCGCUCGAGGCUUCGGCCAAGAGCAUGUCUGCCUCAGCGUCGGGUUAAUACUCGCCUACCUCGAAUUCCGAUUCGGGGCAGCGCGGACCUGGCCGUCCCAGCUAAUUAUAAAUAUUGGCUGGGUUGGCUGAAGAAUAGAGGUUGAUGCAAUGGACCCGUUAAGGGCCUCGGCUUUGGUAGCGCAACUUGUUGCUCAAUGCUAAUAGCUGACGGCCUGGGCCCGUGCUUGUCGACCCAAACCAGGAAACCUUAACCAUUUUCUCGACCUGAG